AAUCUCCGAAACGACAGAAAAGGGAAAAAGGAAAAAGAAAAAAAAGGGGAAAGUGCUAGCAGACAAGGGAUAUGUAGCCAAGUUUUUUGUGUGAGGAGGAUCAUUAUUUUGUGAGGUCUAGUCUUCAUUAGCCCAGGCGCUGUAUGUAUCAUAGAAUGUGUUGGCGCUGUAUGUAUAUAAUAGU
rnacentral:ribozyme from 1 species